rnacentral:rRNA from 1 species
GGGGGAUAACUAUUGGAAACGAUAGCUAAUACCGCAUAACAGUAGAUAUCGCAUGAUAUGUGCUUGAAAGGUGCAAUUUGCAUCACUACCAGAUGGACCUGCGUUGUAUUAGCUAGUUGGUGAGGUAACGGCUCACCAAGGCAACGAUACAUAGCCGACCUGAGAGGGUGAUCGGCCACACUGGGACUGAGACACGGCCCAGACUCCUACGGGAGGCAGCAGUAGGGAAUCUUCGGCAAUGGACGGAAGUCUGACCGAGCAACGCCGCGUGAGUGAAGAAGGUUUUCGGAUCGUAAAGCUCUGUUGUAAGAGAAGAACGAGUGUGAGAGUGGAAAGUUCACACUGUGACGGUAUCUUACCAGAAAGGGACGGCUAACUACGUGCCAGCAGCCGCGGUAAUACGUAGGUCCCGAGCGUUGUCCGGAUUUAUUGGGCGUAAAGCGAGCGCAGGCGGUUAGAUAAGUCUGAAGUUAAAGGCUGUGGCUUAACCAUAGUACGCUUUGGAAACUGUUUAACUUGAGUGCAAGAGGGGAGAGUGGAAUUCCAUGUGUAGCGGUGAAAUGCGUAGAUAUAUGGAGGA